rnacentral:lncRNA from 1 species
AUUUCGAAGUUUUGACCCAGAUCAGUCGGAGGCCACGGAAUGCUCAUGAAGUCUGGAGAGUUUGUUUAGUUCCUGAGUCCGGUAGCUGCCGAGGAGCCAAAGAGAGCCGGCAACCUGUUGGGCUUGAGCUGAAGCCUUGCCUUUUCAAGUUUGUGCUGGCCUGGCCUCCCCAAGCCUCUGAGGAUGACUCAGUGUAUCGGGAGCCGGGAGAUGGAGCUCUCAGCAGAGUGGCCAGGAUGUUCUGUCAACAUGAAAGCUACAAAAACAGCUCGGGGCUCUGAGCUGAUCCUUAGCCUGGGGUCAUUUUCAGGGAGGGCUGGACAGAGAAGGCGGCCACCGCCCGGGCAUCAGGAUGGGAGCGACACCAGGUAACUCAGCAGGGCUCUGGGAACCCUUGCAUUUUAGAG